AACUUUCAGCAACGGAUCACUUGGCUCUCGCAUCGAUGAAGAACACAGCGAAAUGUGAUAAGUAAUGUGAAUUGCAGAAUCCAGUGAAUCAUCGAAUCUUUGAACGCACCUUGCACCCUUUGGUAUUCCAAAGGGUAUGCUCGUUUGAGUGUCAUUGUACUCUCAUACUCUCUGAUCUUAGGAUUGGGAGUGGUGGACUUGGGUGUUGCUGCUUCACUGUGGCUCACCUGAAAUGCAUUAGUGCAACUGUUGACUAACCAUAGUAUGGCAUGAUAAGCAUCUUUGCCAGCACCUCUCCGGAGGGUGGUCAGUCAAGAGCUCUGUGCUUCUAACUGUCUUUGGACAAUGUUGACAACUUGACCUCAAAUCGAGUAGGACUACCCGCUGAACUUAAGCAUAUCAAUAAGCGGAGGCU
rnacentral:misc_RNA from 1 species